UACGUAGGGGGCUAGCGUUGUCCGGAUUUAUUGGGCGUAAAGAGCGUGUAGGCGGCCAGGUAGGUCUGCUGUGAAAACUCGAGGCUCAACCUCGAGAUGUCGGCGGAAACCAUCUGGCUAGAGUCCGGAAGAGGAGAGUGGAAUUCCUGGUGUAGCGGUGAAAUGCGCAGAUAUCAGGAGGAACACCAACGGCGAAGGCAGCUCUCUGGGACGUUACUGACGCUGAGACGCGAAAGCGUGGGGAGCAAACAGG
rnacentral:rRNA from 1 species